CGCGUAGGCGGCCGCGCAGGCGGGGGGUCAAAUCCCGGGGCUCAACCCCGGGCCGCCCCCGAACCGCGCGGCUUGGGUCCGGCAGGGGAGGGUGGAACGCCCGGUGUAGCGGUGGAAUGCGCAGAUAUCGGGCGGAACACCGGUGGCGAAGGCGGCCCUCUGGGCCGGCACCGACGCUGAGGCGCGAGAGCUAGGGGAGCGAACA
rnacentral:rRNA from 1 species